GCUAGUUGUAUUAUUAGUUAAUGCAAGAUCGACUACGUCGACUAAAGUUCUAGGUAGAAUAAUGAUGAUGACAAUUUUUUACCUAUAUGUCUUGACCAAGUCUCGUGCCAGCAGUCGCGGUAAUACGUGGAAGACUAGUGUUAUUCAUCUUUAUUAGGUUUAAAGGGUACCUAGACGGUAUUUCUAGCCCAAAAUAGGGUACGGAUUUACUAGAGUUUUAUGUGAGGAGGGGAGUACUCGUGGAGUAGAGAUGAAAUUUUGUUAUACUAUGAGGUAACUGGUGGCGGCGAAAGCAACCUUCUAUGUAUAAACUGACGUUGAGGGACGAAGGCUUGGGUAGCAAAUAGGAUUAGAUACCCUAGUAGUCCAAGCAGACAAUUCUGAAUGCCAUAGAUUAGAUUAUUUUUGAUCUAUAAAUGAAAGUGUAAGCAUUCCACCUUAGGAGUAAUGUGGCAACACAGGAACUGAAAUCAUUAGACCGUUUCUGAAACCAGUAGUGAAGUAUGUUAUUUAAUUUGAUGGUCCACAAAAAACCUUACCACAACUUGAAUAUUUUUUAAUUAAUACAAGCGUUGCACGGCUGUCUUCAGUUAAUGUCGUGAGAUUUUGGUUAACUCCAUUAAUUAACGUAAACCCUUACUUUAUUUAUUUUUUU
rnacentral:rRNA from 1 species